rnacentral:rRNA from 1 species
UACGAAGGGGGCUAGCGUUGUUCGGAAUUACUGGGCGUAAAGCGCGCGCAGGCGGCUAUCCAAGUCAGUGGUGAAAGCCCGGAGCUCAACUCCGGAACUGCCAUUGAAACUGUUUAGCUUGAGGAUGAGAGAGGUGAGUGGAAUUCCCAGUGUAGAGGUGAAAUUCGUAGAUAUUGGGAAGAACACCGGUGGCGAAGGCGGCUCACUGGACCGAGACUGACGCUGAGGCGCGAAAGCGUGGGGAGCAAACAGG